rnacentral:rRNA from 1 species
UACGUAGGGUGCGAGCGUUAAUCGGAAUUACUGGGCGUAAAGCGUGCGCAGGCGGUUUUGCAAGCCGGAUGUGAAAUCCCCGGGCUCAACCUGGGAAUGGCAUUCGGGACUGCAAGGCUGGAGUGCGGAAGAGGGAAGCGGAAUUUCCGGUGUAGCGGUGAAAUGCGUAGAUAUGCGGAGGAACACCGAUGGCGAAGGCAAUCCCCUGGACCUGUACUGACGCUCAUGCACGAAAGCGUGGGGAGCAAACAGG